rnacentral:rRNA from 1 species
AUGAUACGCGAGGAACCUUACCUGGGCUCAAAUGUAUGUUGACGUAUUUCUGAAAGGGAUACUUCUUCGGACAAUAUACAAGGUGCUGCAUGGUUGUCGUCAGCUCGUGCCGUGAGGUGUCGGGUUAAGUCCCAUAACGAGCGCAACCCCUAUCAUUAGUUGCCAUCAGGUCAAGCUGGGGACUCUAAUGAAACUGCCUACGCAAGUAGUGAGGAAGGUGGGGAUGACGUCAAAUCAGCACGGCCCUUACGUCCAGGGCUACACACGUGCUACAAUGGCCGGUACAAAGGGUUGCCAAGCCGCGAGGUGGAGCUAAUCCCAUAAAACCGAUCGUAGUCCGGAUCGCAGUCUGCAACUCGACUGCGUGAAGUCGGAAUCGCUAGUAAUCGUGAAUCAGAAUGUCACGGUGAAUACGUUCCCGGGCCUU